GCCCCUGUAGCUCAGCGGAUAGAGCACCGGUUUCCUAAACCGGGGGUCGCAAGUUCGAAUCUUGCCGGGGGCG
rnacentral:tRNA from 1 species